rnacentral:rRNA from 1 species
CGCCGUUCGCUCACAUCCAGGAGCAGCAGGGCGUAAUUACCCAAUCCCGACACGGGAGGUAGUGACAAUAAAUACUGAUACGGGGCUCUUUCGGGUCUCGUAAUUGGAAUGAGUACAAUCUAAAUCCCUUAACGAGGAACAAUUGGAGGGCAAGUCUGGUGCCAGCAGCCGCGGUAAUUCCAGCUCCAAUAGCGUAUAUUAAAGUUGUUGCAGUUAAAAAGCUCGUAGUUGAACCUUGGGUCUGGCUGGCCGGUCCGCCUCACCGCGAGUACUGGUCCGGCUGGACCUUUCCUUCUGGGGAAUCCCAUGGCCUUCACUGGCUGUGGGGGGAACCAGGACUUUUACUGUGAAAAAAUUAGAGUGUUCAAAGCAGGCCUUUGCUCGAAUACAUUAGCAUGGAAUAAUAGAAUAGGACGUGCGGUUCUAUUUUGUUGGUUUCUAGGACCGCCGUAAUGAUUAAUAGGGAUAGUCGGGGGCGUCAGUAUUCAGCUGUCAGAGGUGAAAUUCUUGGAUUUGCUGAAGACUAACUACUGCGAAAGCAUUUGCCAAAUCUCC